GUUCAGGGAUGGGAAACGAACCCACAGUGUUCCGCUUACCGGGCAGAUGCCAUGUCCACUAGGCUACCCUGGA